GACGAACGCUGGCGGCGUGCUUAACACAUGCAAGUCGAACGAUGAAGCCGGAGCUUGCUCUGGUGAAUUAGUGGCGAACGGGUGAGUAACACGUGAGUAACCUGCCCUUGACUCUGGGAUAACUGCGGGAAACUGUAGCUAAUACCGGAUACGACCCUCGGAGGCAUCUCCUGGGGGUGGAAAGAAUUUCGGUCAAGGAUGGACUCGCGGCCUAUCAGCUAGUUGGUGAGGUAAAGGCUCACCAAGGCGACGACGGGUAGCCGGCCUGAGAGGGUGACCGGCCACACUGGGACUGAGACACGGCCCAGACUCCUACGGGAGGAAGAAGUGGGGAAUAUUGCACAAUGGGCGCAAGCCUGAUGCAGCAACGCCGCGUGAGGGAUGACGGCCUUCGGGCUGUAAACCUCUUUUAGCAGGGAAGAAGCGAAAGUGACGGUACCUGCAGAAAAAGCACCGGCUAACUACGUGCCAGCAGCCGCGGUAA
rnacentral:rRNA from 1 species